UUCUCCAGCGGCCCGGGCGCGAAGGGCGGUCGGCGCCGCAGCGGCUCCGAUGCCCGCCCGGAAGGGAGCGCUCUGGCCCCGGCCUCGCAGCUGCGGGACAGCCGGGAGCGGAGCAGAGGGCAGCCGCGGCCAGUUGUCUCCCCAGCGGACUGGGAAGGGAACUUUAUCUCGGCCUGGACUCCCGCUGUACCUUUGUUGGGGGUUAGUGGUGAGGCUGCGGUCGUCCGAGCUCCUGGGUGUCGCGGGCGCCGCGAUCCCCUCUUCCCGUAGAAGGGCCCAGGGCGCUGCUCGAGGCGCGGGAACCCCUGGCCAGAGGCGGGCACUGGCGCAGCCCCGCGGCUGCUGCUGGCCAAGCCGACUGCAGGGAUGAGAAAUUCCUUGUAAGAGUGGCUGGAAGGCUCCGCGGAGAGGGAAGAAACUCUUCCCAGAGCGAGCUCCCACUGCUCCUUGGGAAUGGUGCACUUUCCAGUUCCAGUUGGACCCUCUGGGAUUGUCACAGGAAGCGCUGCCAUGUAUGAGGAGCCCUCUGCAAACUACAGAAGGAUGGAUGCUCUUAGCUUAUAAAUAAGAUUUUGACGCCCUGGUUGGUUUGAUGACUUGUGUCAUGAGGAGUAGGGGUGUGCGCUGAUUCCAAAUUCUUCCACGCGGCAUCCUGCUCCGGAGCCUCCCUUGUCUCCUAGAGAAAGGGACAGGGAAUCGAAGGAUGGGGAGUCUGAGGGAGAGGCCCCUAUUCCGCACGCUGUCUCCUGGCUGGCUCCUGAAGGGCUGGCUGCUUCCCCCACCUGGAAGUCCAGGCCCCUGUUCGGAAGUCCUCUCCGCACAGCCUGACAGUCCCUUGGUUCUCUUAUGAUUGCUCUCCUCCCGCUUCAGGCCUAGGAUGGCAAGGACAGCUCCCACUUACCAGAGCCAAGGCACUACGCCGUUCCUGGGUGUCCUCUUCUCCUCCAGCUCCUUUGUAAGUCCCAUGCUCCUCUAUUUACCUAGUGGAGGGUGUCAUGCCAGGACCCUGGCAUAUGAUACACCAGAGCUGCAUUGCUUUUCCGAAUCUGCUCAAGCUGUACAACAUUUCUGAGCCUCAGUACCACCAGCCAUCUGUGGUCCUCCAUUUGUCCUCUUCUCCUACAAAUACCUCCAGCCCCUCUCUUCCUUCAUGAUGCUUCUAGCAUUGGAAAUCCUCCAGGACAAUUCUGCCUUCAAGUUUCCUAGCCUGAGCCACUGAGUUGAUGGAGGAAAAUGUGAUAGAGAUGACUCGUCCUCCUUUAAUUUUCCCACUUCUAUAAGCAUAUAAACGUGCCCUGCAACUCUCCUAAGUGUCCCCAGAAGACCCGCUUUCCCAGUCUCUGAGACAAACAUUUCUUAGCCUUCUCUCCUGCAAGAGAUAACAUUUCUCAAAGUUUCUUUGAGCAUGUAGAUGCUGACAGGGGAUGAUCUAUCCCUUCCACCACCAAACCUCCACACCAGUUGGCACUCCACCCUUGUUAUAGUGGAGGAAGCUGCAGGCUAGUUCCAGCACAGUGAACCCCAGUAGUGUUUCGCUUCUCAGCCUUUGCCAUCUCCUCAUCCCUGAGCCAUCUCCCUGUGGCAGACACUGAUGGGCCACCAGCACUGCAUCAGUGAAGGACUUGCUGCCCCAGCUGCUGGCGUGCUGUCAGCACAGCCUCCUGCAGUCCGCCUCUCCACGAUUGCGGAAAGCAUCUAGGCUGAAGGGUGCAGGUGCUGUAUGCAUUGGUUUAUAUGCUUCCUGUACAUUUCCUCAGGAACCCAACCUGCACCCGUCCUUCUCUAAAGUAUGGUUACCAUCAGCAUCCAGACAUACUCCUUUUUUUUUUUUUUUUUUUUUUUUUGCUUCUCUUCAUAGCAAAAUAUAUGAACAGUUUUUACCUUU
ensembl:lncRNA novel transcript